UACGUAGGGGGCAAGCGUUGUCCGGAAUCAUUGGGCGUAAAGCGCGUGUAGGCGGUCCGGUAAGUCCGCUGUGAAAGUCGGGGGCUCAACCCUCGGAUGCCGGUGGAUACUGUCGGGCUUGAGUACGGAAGAGGCGAGUGGAAUUCCUGGUGUAGCGGUGAAAUGCGCAGAUAUCAGGAGGAACACCUAUGGCGAAGGCAGCUCGCUGGGACGGUAUUGACGCUGAGACGCGAAAGCGUGGGGAGCGAACAGG
rnacentral:rRNA from 1 species